GACGAACGCUGGCGGCGUGCUUAACACAUGCAAGUCGAACGAUGAAGCCGGAGCUUGCUCUGGUGAAUUAGUGGCGAACGGGUGAGUAACACGUGAGUAACCUGCCCUUGACUCUGGGAUAACUGCGGGAAACUGUAGCUAAUACCGGAUACGACCCUCGGAGGCAUCUCCUGGGGGUGGAAAGAAUUUCGGUCAAGGAUGGACUCGCGGCCUAUCAGCUAGUUGGUGAGGUAAAGGCUCACCAAGGCGACGACGGGUAGCCGGCCUGAGAGGGUGACCGGCCACACUGGGACUGAGACACGGCCCCGACUCCUACGGGAGGCAGCAGUGGGGAAUAUUGCACAAUGGGCGCAAGCCUGAUGCAGCAACGCCGCGUGAGGGAUGACGGCCUUCGGGUUGUAAACCUCUUUUAGCCGGGAAGAAGCGAAAGUGACGGUACCUAAAGAAGAAGCACCGGCUAACUAUGUGCCAGCAGCCGCGGUAA
rnacentral:rRNA from 1 species